UACGAAGGGGGCUAGCGUUGUUCGGAAUUACUGGGCGUAAAGCGUGCGCAGGCGGCUUCUCAAGUCAGGGGUGAAAGCCCAGAGCUCAACUCUGGAAUUGCCUUUGAGACUGAGUGGCUUGAGUACGAGAGAGGUGAGUGGAAUUCCUGGUGUAGCGGUGGAAUGCGCAGAUAUCAGGAAGAACACCCGUGGCGAAGGCGGCUCUCUGGAACGCAACUGACGCUGAGACGCGAAAGCGUGGGGAGCAAACAGG
rnacentral:rRNA from 1 species